rnacentral:lncRNA from 10 species
CCUGUCUCCUCAUUCUUUUUUUUUUUUUUGAGACGGAAUCUCACUCUGUCACCCAGGCUGGAGUGCAGUGGUGUGGUCUCAGCUCACUGCCAGCUCCGCCUCCCGGGUUCAUGCCAUUCUCCUGCCUCAGCCUCCCAAGUAGCUGGGACUACAGGUGCCCACCAACACACCUGACUAAUUUUUUGUAUUUUUAGUACAGACGGGGUUUCACCGUGUUAGCCAGGAUGGUCUUGAUCUCCUGACCUCGUGAUCCACCCGCCUCAGCCUCCCAAAGUGUUGGGAUUACAGGUGUGAGCCACCGCACCCGGCUACCUGUCUCCUCAUUCUUAAAAGGACCUCUUUUAAAGGCACAUUGCUUGGUACAUGGAAAGUUACAUUCCCAUACACAACACCAUAUAUUUGUUGGGAAAAACAGCUGAUGAAACCUAGGAGAGAAAAAAAAAUUGGUUAGAAAAAACAACAUGACUUUGGUGGCAGAAAUUAUUCAUCAGGUACUUUUUGUGCUAAGCUGACAAACUGCUGACACAAAAUACAGGAAGUAAGAACAUGUUUGACCAUGUGGAGCUUACUCUUUAAUAGAAAACUGGGACCUGCAUAAAUCCAAGAAAUGGACCCGACAUUCAUGGAGCACCAACCAUCUGCCAGCAAGACCAACCCCUCCUCCCACUUAGCCUGCUUUAACGUGAAGAUAAUGAGGAUGAAGACCUUUGAUGAUCCACUUUCACUUACAUCUUCACCAGGAGUAUAGAUGCCAUCUGAAGAAACCACUUUCUUUGCUCAUCCAUAAGAAGCAACUCCUCAUUGGCUCAAUUUUCAUCAUGAGAUUGUGGCAACUGAGUGACAUAUUCAGGCUCCACUUCUAUUUUUCUUGCUAUUUCCACCCUUCAAAGUCAUCCAUGAGGAUCGGAAUCAAAUUCUUCCAAACUCCUGUUAAUAUUGAUAUUUUGACCUGACGAUUGGAAUCAAAUUCUUCCAAACUCCUGUUAAUGUUGAUAUUUUGAUCUUCUCCCAUGAACCACAAAUAUUCUUAAUGACAUCUAGAAUGCUGAAUCCUUUCAGAAGGUUGUCAAUUUACUUUGCCCAGAUUCAUCAGAAGAAUAAUUAUCUAUGGCAGCUAUAGCCUUACCAAGUGUAUUCCUACAUAAUAAGACUUCAAAGGCAAAAUUACUCCUUGAUCCAUGGGCUGCAGAAUGGAUGUUGUAUUAGCAAGCAUGAAAACAACACUCAUCUCCUUGUACAUCUCCAUCAGAGCUCUUGGGUGAUUAGGUGCAUUGUCAACAAGCAAUAAUAUACUGAAAUGAAUCUUUUUUUUCUAAGCAGUAAGUAUUAACAGUGGGCUUACAAUAUUCAGUAAACCAUGCUGUAAACAGAUGUGCUGUCAUCCAGCCUGUUGUUCCAUUUUAUAGAGCACAAGCAGAAUAGAUUUAGCCUAAUUCUUAAGGGCCCUAAAAAUUUUCAGAGUGGUAAAUGAGCACUGGCUUCAACUUAAAGUCAUCAGCUGCAUUAGCCCACACAACAAGAGAGUCAGCUGUCCUUUCAAGCCUGAAGUUGACUUCUCCUGUCUAGCUAUGGAAGUCCUAGAUGGCAUCUUCUUCCAGUAGAAGGUUGUUUUGUCUACAUUGAAAAUCUGUUGUUUCAUGUAUCCUGCACCAGUAAUCUUAGAUCUUCUGGAUAAUUUCUUGCAGCUUCUACAUCAACACUUGCUGCUUUACUUCACAGUUUUAUGUUAUGGAGAUGGCUUUCUUCCUAAGAUCUCAUGAACUAACCUCUGAUAGCUUCAAACUUUUCUCCUGCAGCUUUCUCACCUCUCUCAGCCUUCACAGAACUAAAGAGAGUUAGGGUCUUGCUCUGGAUUAGGCUUUGGAUUAAGGGAAUGUUGUAGCUGGCUUGAUCUUCUAUGCAGACUACUCGAACUUUCUCCAUCUGCAAUAACGCUGUUUCACUUUCUUAUUUAUGUGUUCACUGAAGUAGCACUUUUAAUUUCCUUCAAGAACUUUUCCUUUGAAUUCACAACUUCACUAACUCUUUGGCAUAAAAGGCCUAGUUUUCAGCCCAUCGUGGCUUUUUUUUUUUCUUUCUUUCUUUUUUUUUUUUUUUCUUCAGACAGAGUUUCAUUCUUGUAGCCCAGACUGGAGUGCAAUAGUGCCAUCUUGGCUCACUGCAACAUCUGCCUUUCAGGUUCAAGCGAUUCUCCUGCCUCAGCCUCCCAACCAGCUGGGAUUACAGGUGCCCACCACCACACCCAGCUAAUUUUUGUAUUUUUAGUAGAGACGGGGUUUCGCCAUGUUGGCCAGGUUGGUCUCAAACUUCUGACCUCAGGUGAUCCACCCACCUUGGCCUCCCAAAGUGCUGGGAUUACAGUUGUGAGCCACCACGCCCGGCCACCUGUCAUGGCUUUUCACAUGCCUUCCUCACUAAGCUUAAUCAUUUCUAGUUUUUAAUUUAAAGUGAGAGACAGUGCAACUCUUCUUUUCACUUGAGCACUUAGAAGCCAUUGCAGGGUUAUUAAAUUGGCCUAAUUUCAGUAUCAUUGUCUCAGGUGACAAGGGAGGCCAGGAGAAGGAGAAAGAUGGGGAGAACAGCCAGUCAGUGGAGCAGUCAGAACACACAUAGCAUUUAUCAAUUAAGUUCACCGUCUUAUACGCAUGGUUCUUGGCAUCCCAAAACAAUGACAACAGUAACAUCAAAGAUCACUGAUCACAGAUCACCAUAACAGAUAUGAUAAUGAAAAAGCGUUAAAUAUUGUGGGAAUUACUAAAAUGUAACAGAGAGACAAAACAUAAAGUUAGGCACUGAUGGACUUGCUUAAAGCUGGGUUGUCACGAACCUUCAAUUUGUAAAAAGCACAUUAUCUGUGAAGUGCAAUAAAGUGAAAUGCAAUAAAAGGAGGUGUGCCUGAGGGAUUUACCAUUCUUUAAUAAAAAUGGUCUUAUGCACACUUCUCUACAUCCCGCCUUUCCAUUAAUAUGUCAUAAAAUCUCCUUGAAAUCAACUGGUAUAGCUAUACUUUAUUCUUUUUAAUAACUACAUAAUAUUCCAGAGCAUGAGGGAACCAUAAUUAAUCUGCCAUCCACCACUGAUGAACACUCCUUUUGUGGCUAGCUUUGUCUAUUGCAGUUACACCGCAAUAACUAUCCUGUACAUAUGUCCUGAUGUAUUUAUGGUUUCAUAUUUAUGUGGGAGUAGAGUGGAGCUGGGAGUUGCUACAUCAAAAGGUAAAUAGAUUUUUUUUAUUUUAAUAGAAGUUGCUGCAUUGUUUACAAAAAAGACUUUGGCAAUUUACAUCUCCAUCAGUAAUGCCUGAGUUGCCCUUUCCUUGGACUCCUGACAGCAUUAGAUGUAAACCCCUCCCAACACUGGAAGAGGAAACAGAGACCAGUGCGCUGUGCAGUCUCACUUAACUAGAAUGCACAACUCCUGCUUUUAUCACCAUUCUGGGAAAUCCCCGCUGCAUUUCAUGGCCAGGGCAGCACUUCAUAGUUGGAAAAGGAUGGUGUGGACUUGCCGCAGAGGCCCUAGAGAAGGCCAUCCUGUGUUCCUGCUCUCCUUCUCAUCCGGCUUCUACCCCCACCCCACCCCCCAACAAAAACGCUACAGGUUAUAAGAUCUACAUUCUGAACCUGGCUUUCAGGGGCUAGGUGUGUUGUGUGUUGCACAGCUCUAGAGGUAGCAUAGCCUUGAUCAUCGGGGUGGAGGUGUCUAUUUACUAUAUGUUGCAGCAGAUGGCAGUGAAGUGUCUUGAGGAAGAGGUGUUUUUAUCAUUUGAAGGUUAUGGGGUGUAAUAAUAAAGACUGCAAUUCACAGACCUUGAGCCUAGCAGGCCAAUGCCAAGGGCAGAACUGUAGGCUCCCACAGCACAGUUCCACAGAGGAAGGGGGCUGGUUAGUAAGGGGAAAGAAGGAUAGAAGACUGCAGUAAAUGUAAACAGCCGUAUUUUCAACAUAAUUUACUACAGGUCUCUGAAGUGUAUAUAAAAUGUUUUAGU